AAGCAAACAGUUUUCGACUGAGCUCGGAUAGAGAUGUCUAUGUCCGCAUUUAUUUUAACUUCGUGUUAAAACGCAUUGGAAGUUACACAUACAUUCCAGACACUGGACUCUGAUGAUGCCACUGUUGGAUACAUGAAAAGCACCACUUCCUGUGCCUUAGAGGAAGGCCAGUCCAAGACCUUCAACCAUUACUUUUACCCAGAUGACCUGAGUGUUUAGCCUAAGCCAGAAGAAGAAAUCUCUCCAAGCUUUGGCACUAUGCUUAGAAACACCACUUCAUCACCUACCUGGGCCUCAGCCCUAGUUUCAAAUAACAGAGAGUCUACAGCCUCGGCACAAGUGGAUAUUCCAACUCACAACAGGCCUUGACCCAUCUACGUCAGCCAUACAUAACAGCAAGGACAGUCACGUCCUGUAAGUCCUCAGCAUCGACAGCCUGCACUUCACCUUGAAGAUGACGACAGCAAUGGGAUAAAUAAACAGGACCAUUAACUAUCCAAACGGGCAUGAUGGGAUGUCUAUUGUCGUCUGGAGAGAGCGCGGGGGAUCAGGAAGGAGACAGGAAGAGAGAGUCACUCUGCCCAGGGGUCUGCAUGGAUCCCUCACACACACACAAAUGUUUUCUCUCUUCCUCUUGAGUUUAUUGUGUUUGACCCACUGCGGGAUCCCUAACAUCCUGUUGUCCAAUUUUAUGAGAAAUAACAAGCUUAUCCUCUUGGCUUACUUGACAAACAGUUUUCCCUCUUACUCACAGCUGCCCUACAGCCAAUACAGCAGCUUUCUGGGAUCUCACUGCCAUGAAAAAAAACAUACAAAGUGUUUGAUAUUGAAAAAUUUGAGUCAUUAAAAAAGUUGUAAUCUGUAACUUCCUAUGAGAUGUCAUCCCCUACAGCAGUGUGAGGUGGAAUUUUAAUUGUGUUCGGUCUGUAACAAAGAGGGGAUGUUGUUGUUGCAGCACCACGAGUGGCCAUGGGAUGAAUUGGCAGCAAGGGUGAGUGGCAGCGUCGUAUCCAGCUCGCAUAUUUACCCCAGUGGCCAACUGUGGUACUGCAAUACAAAAAAACUCUUGCCCCUUGUGCUAAUUUUUUUUUUUUUACCCUAGACUGCCAUCAUAAAAAGAGGUCUGUAAAACUGUUGAUAGA